rnacentral:rRNA from 1 species
CCUACGGGAGGCAGCAGUGGGGGAUCUUGCACAAUGGGGGAACCCUGAUGCAGCGACGCCGCGUGGGUGAAGAAGCGCCUCGGCGCGUAAAGCCCUGUCAGCAGGGAAGAAAAUGACGGUACCUGAAGAAGAAGCCCCGGCUAACUACGUGCCAGCAGCCGCGGUAAUACGGAGGGGGCAAGCGUUAUCCGGAUUUACGGGGGGUAAAGGGGGCGGAGACGGCGAUGGAAGCCAGGAGUGAAAGCCCGGGGCCCACCCCCGGGACUGCUCUUGGAACUGCGUGGCUGGAGUGCAGGAGGGGCAGGCGGAAUUCCUGGUGUAGCGGUGAAAUGCGUAGAUAUCAGGAGGAACACCGGUGGCGAAGGCGGCCUGCUGGUCUGCAACUGACGUUGAGGCCCGAAAGCGUGGGGAGCAAACCGGAUUAGAUACCCGAGUAGUC